UAACUUAAACAGCCAAGUCCAGCACCUUCUUUCUUAGCCUGCUGAGGGAAGGUGGGUCGCACCAGGAAACACGUUUCAGACAAAGAGCCCAACCAGGAGAGAACACACAUGACACUAGGAUUUACAGCUUACCUGAGACAACACAGCAAACUCCAUUCAAAGUGAACUUUGACAGCGUUCAUUUGUGAGUAAAGAGAAAUCUGCUUUGUUUGGGGCCAAGGGGUGCAAGGCUGAGGAAGCUGAGAACAGCUGCUCAUUCCAGAAGAUGCCUCUGAGAAGUCUGCCCGUUACAGGCAAAUUUACACCAUCUCUCACUCACCAUGUGCUAACGGUGUUAAGAGCAUUGUGAAGAACAGCAGCUGUGAUGACCACAUGACUGUGAAGGAGGGCUUGAAAGUAUCCCAGCAAACGAGGGUUCAAACAAAUCAAGGGCUUAAGACAGCAGUUUUGAAUAAUGAUGCCCACAGAGGUCCAGAGAGUCCACAGGCUUGAAAGGAGGCCACCAGUACACAUCAAACUAUACCACUGGCCAUUAUUUAUACAUGCUUCUUCUACAGCAUCCUCCGUAUAGUUUUAAAAGUGAGAAGCUUUUUGUGCUACAAAAUCUGAAAAAGCAUACAGAUGGGGGAAGCUAUCCAAGGUCAGGUACGCUUCCCUGAAGGAAAAGCUCUGCCAGGCACUGAAGGAGUGGAGGGCUGCCCCCAACAUCCUCACGAUCUGAUCUGCUGCCAAGCAUCACCCAAACCUGAUCUGCAUGCCAGCAGUUCCCAAAAAUCCAACUCAAAGCGGUACUGACAGAAUAGGAGAAAGCCAAAGGAAACUAAGACCUCGUGGUAGAGAAAUGAGCGGUGAAGUAUUCAAGUCAUUGUUCAUAAAAGAGCAUUAUAGAUACACUGACAAACUCAGCAUCUACUCAAAUCUGUUAUUCAGCAGUUGAUGUCAAGCAGCACACAGAUCAUUUUCUGAGUUCAUCUGUUGAUGGUCUACAGGAAGGAUGAAAAAGAAAAGGAAACCAAUUCAUCUGGUUUUAAGUUUGCUAAACGUGAUGCACAGAGAGACUUGACGAUGCUACUUUGGAGCCUUUGGCAAUUCUUCUGUGACAAAUAAAACAUGUGUGGUGCAUGCAUCGAAAACGAAGACAAGCUUAUCAACAGGGUCAGCAUAAUUUUAACUUCCCUUUGCCAAGCUUGUAUUUUAAGGCAUCACCUCUCCCAUACAUACAGACCCCAUCUAGUCAAGUGUCUUACAGUGGCUGUAAUUGUGACAGCACAUAUUCUGCAUUGGGUCUUGCUUUAACCUGAGGAAGUGACAGCCUCUGAAGAGAAAAUUAGCUAAAGGAGAUGACAGAAAAUUCCAGGGGAGUUCAAAUAGCACAUCUUUAAGUGAAGUGUGAUACUUAGACCAGCAGAGGGAUACUCUUAAAUGCCUCUGGAUGCAACCUUUAAAACAUUUUUCAAUAUUCAUUUAUCCACCCUCUCUCUCCCUUCCUGCUCUGCCACCUCCAUACCACCUCAAUAGUCUUCCUUUUCUCUUCCUGGCUGGAAAGGACCAGUAACUUACAUUGCCCAAAACUGCAGCAGCUGCAGAUAUAGAAGAGUUUAGUGCCCUUUGCCAUCAGAGCAAGAUCAGGUUUUCUUCCUGGAGGUGUAGGGGAAUACAGGUGGGGGCCAUUUGUCAUUCACCUGCAGCUCAUCAGGAGGCAGCCCAAAGCCCUUAUGGGUGGGCUCCAUCUCCCUAUAUAUACAUCAGUGAGGAACAGGAGGAUGGUACACAGGCUUUCAGAGCUCUUUGCUCCCCAUGGCACAUGCCAGAGAAGAAUUCUACAUGUAAAGAUGAUGGUGAACGCUUUUUAUGUAGGCCGUGCUGUUCAGAAAAGGGGGAAAGGGACUGCCUUACGCCCACCUCUUAGCACACUUUCACAGCCCAGUUGGCCCCACAGUUCUUUGGUUAGAAGGUUAAACAGCAGAGUUGAAGACAUCAACAGCUACAGGGAACUGAGCACUGCCAAGCUGCCACAGAAAGCCCAGCCUCUACAGUGGCUUGUUUCACGGGACCUGCAGCAGCAGGGACAUGACAAGACAGCAAUGCAUGAACCAAAUUACCAGGAUUACAACUGCGUUUGUUGUUGGAAGCAGUACUUUUGACAGUGCUGGAAUUCCUCGGCCUUUGACUUACUCCCAGUCACUAUUCACACGUAUAACUAUAUGCAGUAAUAAAGAAGGGAAAGAGAAUGACUGGACUGAGCAAUUGCAGUGAAAACAGGAAAUAGAUCACAGCUUUGCUGCAAUCUGUGAAAUGUGCCUCCAGUGCCUUUUUAUUCUGCUCUUGCUUACUAUUCCUUUCUCAAAUGGAUGGUAACAGGUAUUACUUGUUUCACACUAAGUGUAAUUUCCUUCACUUUUUGUGCUGAUUAGGAAAUUAACAGGCAGUAUAAGCAAGGUUAAUUGCUUUUCCCAUUUAAAAUAUACUGCUCUUGAAAGAAUUAAAGUAGUAACAAGAUCACCUAUACACACAACUCUAUGCAUACAUGCACCCUCUCAAAUGAAACAAAAAUCACUAGCAAAUGAGAUUAAUGGCAAAAGCCAAGCAAAUAACAUUUUUACAAGUAAGUUAUCUAGGAAAAAGUUAAGUUUAAUUGUCUUUCAGAUCUGUUAUGAUGUAAUAAAUGUCUAUUAAUGUUUAGCAGCAGAUUAGGUUUUAAUGACCAUUGCUAUUUUUGGCUGGUGGGUGACAUGUAGUUUAAAUAUAAACCAGAUUUAUGUUUUACACCGGGAUGACUUUCUCAGAUGACUCUCCUUGACUUAACCUCUUCACACCCCACAAGACAUUUAAUAUAAUUUUAUUUCUAAUAGACUGUGAGCCAAUAGGAUCAUAUUUGCUACUACUGAUGUUUUCAAUGAGAAAUAAAAUCAAUGAGGUUUAUGCUGAAGAUAAGUGUGAUUAGUUAAGUGUAAGUGGCUUCAAAAAUAUUAGGAGGGUUACAUUAUUCAACCAAAUGAUGCAAAUUAAGAAAAACUGGAUAGAAGUAAAAUCUAUGAAAAACUCCUGAUCUUGCUGCGUUGGAAAAUUCUUAGCUAGAAUUUGUUUUUUUGUUGACACUCUCAAAAAUUAGUAUUAGUAGGUAAGAAACUGUCUCGUUUUCAACGCAAGCAGUUAACCUUACGCAUUCAUACCUACAAAGAAAAAAAAAAUCAUCUUAGACCUAGAGACAAUAGAGCAGCCCAAUGGGCUGCUAGGAGAAAAACACACGGUACUUGAUGUAGUGUAAGAAGAACAGGCAAACAAGGCAAAGCCAGUCCACCAACUGACUGAGAAAACAAGACAGUAACACAGAAGCAGCGUUCUGCAUCAUUAAAAAAAAAAAAAAGAUAUACACAUGUGCAAUAAAUGUUGCAUCUACAUUUCUAGGUAUGGUAUUUUCCAAUGAGCUACAAACACAGGAAUAAUAGAAAAAGCAAUAGGCCAAAUAACAGAACAAGAAAUAUUUACAGUUCCCUACAGCAAAUGUCUGUGUAGUAAUAACAAAGAGCCUGUUUUUCCACGUUUUACCAUGUUAAUGACUUGUGUUGCACAUUAAUCAAGAGUCCAGCCUCAUUGACCUUUGUAGAGUGAAGAAAAAAAAAAAAAAAAUUAUUGCACUCAUUUUUUCCAGGUACUUUUGUUAUUAUUUAUAUUCUCCUAACAGAGGUCACCAUCUAACCCAAAGCCUAGUUAUGAAAGGUCCUGGGCAUUCUCACAGUAAACACAGCUUUCCUUCUUCCGCAUUCCUCCUUCAUAUUAUCUAAUCGACAAAGAAUGGGAAGAAGACACUCUUCUGCAGAGAAUAGAGGUGCAGAUGGAUAGCAGCUAGUGAUUUCCAUGUCUGCCCUUCAACUCUGAAACCAAGCUUCAGCCAGUAAGUGGACCAUUUCCAGCUGACUUCAGUAACAAGUGAUAAAUACUCAGCGUUUCCUUAAUCUCUGUAGAAUCAGGUCCUCCAGCAAGCGCAACUGAACAAAGUCCAAUUUCUGACAAAAUUAUUCCCCCCAAGUAAUAUACACUUGCCUUAGGUUUGUCCCUCUCCAAAGGAGUACUUUCUAGAUCUUUUAGGUUAGCAGUGAACCCAGUCUUUUCCCCAGGUACCGCUUCAGCACUUAAGCUCGAUUAGCAAACUGGACAGCAAAGCUCCUGUCAAACCUUAUGGAAAUGAGGUAAUAUCCUCAGCAUCUCUCUUAUUGCCUUCAUAACAUUGGAGGACAAGACUACAGCCAAUCUUGUGUAAAGCGCUGCUAAACCCGUCCAGUGAAAAUGCGAAGGCUCAGCUGUGUGUGAAGGAAGAUACUUUGGUGUCACCACAAGCUAGCGGUACCCCCUCAAACACAAGCUGACAGAGUGCACAUUGUUUGGUCUCCUUCCUAAGGAGGAGUAUCAUACAGCUGUACACAACAGCGAUUUGCAAUCUGAAGGGGCCGCUGCACUAGAGCUGAACACCAAUGCUUCUCUUGCUAUUACAAAGGAAACAUUUUAUACUAGAAACUCUGAAUAGGUAAAAUAUUUACAUAAAUAACGAUCCCAUACACACAUGUCUCUUCCCUUUUGAAGUGAAACAAAAGCCAGAUAUUUCCGGCUGGAAGUAUAAAAGGGAUCUUAAUUAAACAGAACAUUUAAACUCAGCUGGAAUUUCACCAGCAGCUCCCACCUCCACUCCUGCAUCAUGACCUGGCAUCACCAAGAUCCACAUGGUGACUGGUUGUCCUCCAAAGGCACUGGCCCAGUAAUCCUAAUCCCCUUAUUUCAGCAAAAGGAAAGUGAGUUUUGCAAAAGAAAUAUUUAAUCCAGUAUGCCCAUGUACUUUCUAAAGGUACUAUUAUAGUGUUUCUAAACAAUAAAAUGUUUGGGUAGGUGACAGGCUAAAAUUAAUUAGUUUCUCGAGUGCUUUCUUGCAGACAUUAAUUGCAAGGACAAUCAGGAUAAAUGUGUUUAAGAGAAUUUUCUUGGGCAGCUGAGUAAGGAAUGUGAGACACUUUGCCUAUUUUCAUGUCUCAUAGCCUGAAGAUCAGUAGCAACCAGCCAAAAGAGCGAAUACACCUGUUUUCAAAUUUGCCUAAAACACAUCUGCCUUGGUAAGCCUCAAAUUAAAAAUGUUUCUUAAUGGCUUAUUACAUAGUGGGUUGCUAUAAGAUCCAUGGGACAAAUGAAGACAGUUCUUACCACUGCAAGUUAUACUAUAGUCCCAGAAAAAUGAUGCAGUAUCAUGUGAAGAAGGUGGGCGCCCAAACCAAACCCUGAAAAUUUCUCAGUGCCUUUUUCACCAAGUAACCCUACUCCUACUUGACUCCUCCUAAAAUUAAGAGAUUUGAAUUAAUCUUUUAGAUGAAUUAUUGCAGGACUGCAGUGACUGCAUUCAACAACAAUGCUCUCAACUUGUAGUUUGCCAAACUGCAACAAUGACCUUUAUAACAUUUUACAUUUUUAAGUACACAUUGAACUUAAUCAAGAAAGCAAUGUAAACAUGUUAGUCACAGGCAUCUGGCAAAAUCAAAUACAGUCAGACUGCAAUGGGAUGGCUGCACCACCGAGAAUCUGCAAUGAACUUAACUACUCAGUUUCCAUCAUUUCUAAGGAAACAGUAAACACUCAUUUCCAUAUACCCUAAGAGCUGUAAAAUUUGCAGUAACACCUUUAUUUGUGGUGGUGUAUAUAAAGUAUGCAAGUCCACUUCAGAUUUUACUCUUAAUGCAUUGCUUCUGCCUAGAAAAAGCAAGAUGUCUUAGUAGUUGAGGAGAAACAUUUAACUGUAGAAAUCAUAUGCAAUUCCAGAGAAGAAAUUAAGCACCUCUGGCAACUAUAAUACAAGAUAAUUAGUCUGAUGUAUGGGCCUGUCUCUUGUGAUAUUUUGCAAGGGAGUAUAUAAAUACCAAAAUGUAGCUACCCUUGAUAUGCAAGAUUAAUUUGGGGGACAGGGAGGAGAAUUUUGGUAUCUGCUUAAACAUUUCCUUGUGAAAAGAUGACCACAUUUCUCAUCCUCCACAGGAAAGGGUUUCAAAUGCACUGCUCUAGUUCUAGCUAAUCUGAGGUCACUGGCAAACCCCCCCCCCCCCGAUUUCUGUAGUAAGCAGCACAACCAAGAGAGGGCCUUUGAAAAAACAUCACCCCAAGCCUAGCAAGCAGCAAGUAAAACCUUUGUUAUUUAAGGUCAUAGCUGGAGGUGGAACUGCAAUAAAGUAUUUCAUUCGAUUAUCUGAAAAGCCAUUUAUGGUAAACAACAAACGACUACUUUUUAGUACAUCUUUACUUUGACUUAUUUUACUGUAUGAGAAGUAAAUACUCUAGUUUAUAAAACAAGUGGAUAAAUGACAAAAAGAAGUCAGCCCUAAACAUUUUACUAAAGCAAUCAUUCUUUUGUUUAUUUUGUUCUCCCUAUAAGGGAGAUUCACAAGCAAAAAGCAGGAACACUGGGCUUCAAAAGUAACCAAAAUUGGCAAAUUGUGCAGAAAGAUAGAUAGUGUCAUUGUUUAGCACUUGGCACCAGUGUGGAUCAGAGCAAGCAAGAACACAGAUCGCCUGUGAUGGGAAAUCUAUCAGAUGUAACAGAGCCAACUGAUGGCUAAAAAUCUAACAUUAAGAUCCUUUCAUCCACUGCUUACCUUACAUUUACGUAAGUUUCACGUCUAAAGCAAUGAGAAUCCAGAGAUGGGAAUAUCUGAAUUGAAAGAAAACUGUAUUUCAGCGAAAAGAAAGGUCAAGACCUUCUGUUCAUCCAAACUGACUGUCAACAAAAAGAACAAUAUCUAAAAUUAAUUUUCUCUAACAUUUUUCCAUUCAGGCCUUGCCUAAACUGUAAUAGAAAUAGGGAGGGAAGAAAGACCUGAGUGCAUCUUCUGAGGGCAAGAAGGGGUAAGUUGCUUCCUGGCAUCACUGUCCCUUCUGACCGCACAGUUUAACUCUCCCUUUACCCAAAGCGUAUGUUCAUUGCGAAUGCAGCCGCUAUAAUUCAGCAGCAUAUUAUACACAAGCUCACAGCGCAAGAUCCCAGCCAGAGCUGUUUCAUUUUGGAAGAAGACAGAAAUACCAUUCGUAAAUUAGGUACUAUCACCAGGAACAGGAACAGUUUAGCAUCGAAACACUUCAGCAAUCUGUGUGUAUAAAGCCAGAGCAUUACAUGCCAGUAGAUUUCAGGCUGUAGAUAGCUUUAGGGUGAGAGAGCAGGGAGAGCCCAAAUGGGACAGUUUGCUACCAGAACUUUAUCAAGGAGUUUAUGCACGAUUUCUUCCUCCUACAUUAGGAAUUAAAACUACUGAUGUGGGGCUCAGUUCGCCAGCGUGAAGAAUGGCAGGGGGGAGGACCCCAAACAAGCACUUUCUCACAGCUUCAGUCACAGCUAGAGGGAGACAGCAAUGCUUGGCAAAAAAGUACACUCAUGUCAGAGGUUCGCUUCACUCCUGAGGAGUCUGAGUGCCACAGUCCACAUACUGACAGCAAGCAACAAAAAUGCCUCUUCAUGGCAAUCAGGCUGGGAAACUUCUAGGAAUUUAAUCCCCUUUUACAACUGUCCUUCUAUUAAAAACCCUCCCGUUUUCAAACACAGUUCAUUCCAACCACAUGAAAAUGAGGUACUUUUACAAGCCACAUCACCUGAAGAAGGAGGAAUUGAUCAUCUCCAAGGCAAGGAAGUCAUCCCAGGUUACACGGCAGCAGAGCUGAAUUUCACUCCGAGGCACCAGAAGCCCUUUGCUCACAGGACUGGGGUGCAGUAGGAACUUCUCAACCAACCAGCACAUAUCAAGGAUAUCCUGGAAAAGUUACCUUCAUCUCUUCCUUGAGAAUUAGAAUUAUGUAAACUCUCCUCCAGGAAAACAGAAGACACAAAUUUGCUGUUACCCCUGUGCUGCUGACCCAAGUGAAACUUUUCAGAAUUUUAUGUUUUUCUGAAAAUAUUCAGGUGAUCAACUUCAAUAUUUUUGAAAUAAGUUUUUCCUAUUACACAGCUAGAAAUUACUUUUUCUGGUAAUGUUUCACUUCAUGGCAUUUCAUUUUAAGAAACUAAGGUGCUCUUAACAGAAAAGAUUUCAGUUGUGUUGAAACAUUCUUGCUGAUACAUGAUUUUGAUUUAAAAAAGUGUCAAUUUUCUGCAGAAAAUAGUACUCCCUGGAUUUUAUUUCCUCCUCAAAAUUGCCAAUAACUUAAAGUAAUUUUCUCUCUGCUCAGUGGAGAAGAUGCGUGCAAUGUGAUGACUCAGAUCACUAUUGCAUAUAAUGGUAGACCACUGGGCAGCCUACUAUGUGCUGAGAGGAGAACCAGAAGGAAUCACAGUUCUACUAAUGAACGCUGGUGCUGGAAUGCUCUCCACGACCCGGAUUCCCCAUCAUAUUUUUCUUACACUUCCCUCAGCAAAAGGACAAGUCCUUUCUCCCUCACUCCCCUCCAAUGCAAAAUUCACACACAUUUUCAAGGGCGUUUUUUCCUGCUACCAAAUAUACUUCAACCUGUGUACCCUUCACCUCUUAAAAUACCCAGAAUCUCCACCCCACUGUGCUGAGUCCUAAAUUCACUGCCUUCUUCCCCCAGAACCUGCCAUGAGUCCCAAGUGUUUCAUUACUGUAGGUAAAAACAAAACUGAGAGAAGUACAGACCAGCACAUCACUAAAAAUUGAUAGACAGAAUAGUUGAGAAUACUGAUCUCCCCAGAAUCAUAUUUUCCUUAUUGAGUAAUUAGAGGUUAGCUGCAAUUAAACCAGAACAGCUAGUCCAACAGUGGGUCUGCUUCCUGGUGGCACACUCACUAGUACCAGCAGUAAGGGAAAAUACCACAUACUUUUUUGUCCAUCCCUACCAAAUUCACCAUUACUCAAGCAAAAAUGCACAGAGUAGGGAAGAGAAGAGCAGCAAAGGACAUUGCAGCAGAGCCACCCUCAAGUGCCACACAAUCAGUUCAAACACUUUUCUCUGCAAGAACCUCUUGCACUUCAGCUUCUUCAACUUACUUGGUUUCCUACCUGCCUUGUAACACAAUCACUAAUGUUUAGCUUUCAAAGUAGCAAGGUGCGAGACUGAAGCGCUCUUUCACUGAUCUUUCUCUGACCUAAUCUGGAUCUUGCUAUUCUCAUCUACAAAUGACUGGUACUGCAGAAGCAGUCUUCCCUACCAUGCAUGGCAGAAUUGUCCACAUAAACAACACAGACCUAAAAAGCUCAUGUCAGGAAUAAUUGGAAUUAAAGCUUAAGGUUUUCUGUUAAAGAAAAAACAGAAAAGAAAAAAAGGUAAAUCCUGAAUUAGUUAUUUGGCAUAGCAGUUUUUAUCCAUAGGACUUCCUUGUGCCUCCCUCUCUGCAGCAUUAAUUACCUUUCCCUGUAAAAACAGCCAGCACCUUUGAUUCAUUUUUGAAUGCUAAUCUUCCAAUCAACAGCAGGAUUUCAUCCAGUUUAAGUGACAGGGUCAGUCAGACCGGUUCACAUUAUCUAAUGAAGCCACUGUCACAUAUAUACUUUCAGGGAAUACCUGCAGCCCACACUUCAAGACUAUACUAGGACUAAGCCUUCCUCGUAGCCCUUCAGUGUCUCCAGAUCUCAUCACUGCAUUUUGAAUUGGCAAAGUUCUCUGUGAAAUGGAGCAAGCCCCAACCCUUAAAACAUGUUCCUCUGUCGCCUUAACCAAACAGUGCCUGGAAAGGUUUUCCCACGUUAAGCAAACAAAGAGCAAUACUCAAGGACACCACAGCAUGGUUAGAGGCAGGACAGAAACAAUUGUGGGGAUAGACAAUAACGCAAAAGCUCAUCUUCACAAAGCAAAUACUUCUGUCCGUGAGGAAAAUUCCAAAUGCAGCCUGCAUGAAAAUCACUGAAAACUGAAAGCGUACAACUUGUAUCUCUGUGGUGUAAAGCAAAGCUAUAGCUGCAGCAACAGUGAGAAAACUAAAUCAAUACUAUUCAGGACCAAUAUCGGUAAGCCACCAACCAAACAAGCAACAGUGUGAACCUACUGAUUCUGUAGAGCUAUACCUCCACACCAUUUUCUUCAUCUUCUGAAACAUUUCAAUCACCUUGCAAAAUAGAAAACUGAAGACCAAAACUCCUAAAUAAUACUUCCUAAAACCCUGAAGUCACGCUUAAAUAAUUACAAAAACCCUUAGUAGGAUGUUCUGCAUUAUACACUUGUCAAAAGGCUUUACAUUAAUAAAAAAUUGUGGGUAUUUUUUUUCAAUUAUUAUUAUUAAUAUUCUGCUGUGGAUUUAUCAGGCUGAACACUUAGUUACGACAACCUCAGGUAACUCAGUGAGACUCCCUGGACAGGUUUGUUACACACUGCCUGAAUAAAGACUGCUCCUGCUGAGUGCAGACAAAGAACAUCACUAUGCACGGACAAAACAAGGUAAAAUUAAUGCACGAGCUUAUUUUAACAGGCAUCCAGAGACAGAAGAGCCUGUCAGCCACUGGAGGCUCACAUGUCCCCAUCCUCCUUCCCAGCCAUGUUAAAGGCUUCUGGGAAUGCAUUCCCUCACCACUGUGCCCCUGAUCUCAGGGUGAAAACCAGGGCAGGAUUAGAAAAGAGCUGGGGGAUAAACACAUUGGUAAAACAAUAAAUACCAACUAGACAGCUACAAGGGUCAGGAGAUGUUUAGGAAGAUUACAAGUUCAAAGACCACAGCAGCAGCAAGUACUGACAAAGCGUACUUCUGAAAAAUACAUGCAAGUCACAUGCAUAUAUAUCGUACAUAUAUACAAUUUUUCAUACAAAAUUUUUAUCAUUUUGACUCUUAUUUAAAAUUAUUUUUUUUAGACAAGGACUGGAACAUGAAGGGCUACCUUCCUUACUAGUGCUUUCCUACUGCAGAGGGCAUCCCCAAAGAGUGCUGGGGAGGGCCUCUUCAACAUUGCGCCACAGGCCUCCGAAGGG